GGCUUCGUAGUUAAGUGGCAUAAUACUUGCUUCGGGUGCAAGUGGCCUGGGUUCGAUUCCCGGCGAAGCCCUUUAUAUCCU
rnacentral:tRNA from 1 species